UUGAAUUCACUAAGUCAUCAUAGCCAAUUACAUUUUGUGCUUUAAUAAUUCUGUUCAAAGGUAGAUUUAUUAAGGUGUUAGUGAGAAAGUGAUAUUCCUAGUUGAUUUCUAUUGAACAAAUUUAAUGAUAAAACCAUAUGAUUUUUGAGGUUUAGAGAUUUUUCCACUACCUAGAGCUUGCCCAGCAUUUAAUUGGCACUUCACUUAAUACAGAAUGUAUCAAAAAAUUAACUAGGCAUUAAUUAGGAACACAAAAUGUGAACUAGCCUUAAAAAGUUAAUUAUCAAAUUGGUGUAGCUAUCUGUCGUGGACUCCCAUAAGCAGCCUGUUAAAGCAGUUUCAUUUUUUAAAACGUAGUAUGUUUCUCAGGAUGUGAUUACACAUACAAUAUAUGAUUGUAAUUUUGAGUUAAUUGCAUAGUAGCUAGAUUAACUUUUACAUCAUUACAGUUUAAUCAGUGUUUUUCAUGAUUAACGUUCAUUUACGUUUAAAGCUUCCAAGCUUUUUCUUUCCCUGACUUCUGCUCCUCCCUUCUCAUGCCAGGCGCUGACUUAACAGAUCACUACAUUAAAGCUCUCUGAGGACAAACUUCUGCUUUGUCUCACUUUAGGUACCAGGACAAUUUCACUUGAAACUAUGAUAGCAAUAGUGUCUUUACCCACAGUGUAAUCCUAAUGACAGUAAUUAUCUUAAUAUAUAGAAAAGAAAGGGUAGAAAUUAGUUGGGGAAAUUGCAUAGCUAAUAAGGAAAGCAGUUAAUACUCUCUACCACCUUGACUUCAGUUUUAUUCCAACUGUAACUUCCAGAGGAAAAAGAAAGAAAAAAAUUUUUUAUCUUUCUUACAUGUAGCCCGAACAGCAUGAAAUACAUCAGGACCUUUUUAUUACAAAUUUUUAAAAAUUGCCCAUUUUAAGAUUUAAGCUCAUCUAAGGACUGACCACUAGAAUUAUCCAAAACAUUUAAAAAAACCAAAAGGUAUGAUUCUUCUCCAUGCUUCAAACCUUAAUCAGCUUGAAAGGGGGACAAUAUAAAGUGAAUGUAAAAAUAGAUACGGUAAUAGGGGCUGUCUAGAAUAAAGACAUUCAAGACAGUUUCAAUUAGAUCAUACUCUUUCAGAAGGUGCCUCAUUUGUGUAGCUGAAGCACACUGUCUGUCUGAUAUAAAGGUAUUCUGAGGAGUGCAAAGAUCACUUGAGGUGAAAUGACUGAAUCUCAGCCAGGGGGAGCCUGAGAAGAUCGGGUGCAAGAAUCUGUCUCAGAGAACACUUGCAGAGUUGAGAAGCUCAUCUAAAUACACUGAGCACAUUGCUGCUGACAACCCUGGUUAAUAACCAGUGUGGAGAAAAGCUGUUGAUGGUGAAGAUCUGUCCAGUAAACAUUGAAAAAGCAACCAGGAAGCUUAAGUCCAGGAGCGGCUGGUCAACGGAACUUUAAAAUGAAGGACACGGCCAUAAGUAUACCUGGCACUUCCCAUCUCUUGUCUAAAGCAAAACGUGUGGUCUUUGUCUCAGCGCUAGCCUUUGAAUGUUUCUGUAGAAUAGUAUUCUUCUAAAACUUUUCCUUCUUCGUGAAAAAUGUUAGUGAAAUUACCAUAAAAUACUUAAUGAAUUGGGACGCUUUUAUUUUGCCUUCUGGAGAUAACUAUAUAUAUGCUAUGCGUAUCCCCAAAUACUCAAAAUAGUUAACACUAGAAUUGUUUUUAUCUUGGAAUGAUGAGAUUAUAAGUGAUUUUUAUUUCCUUCUUUCUUUUCAGGUUCUCAACACAUUAGCAGACAGCACAUACUACUUUCCCACCAAGAAAACAGAAGAAUAAAUAGCAAUUUUUAAAAAGUACAUUCUAAAAGUAUGAAUUUUAAAAUGUUGGGUGCUUGCAGAAAAAAAAGGAAGCUGGCAUGUCCAGGAAGGUGUAUUUCUACAUGAACAGAAAAAUGAUGGGCUGGGGCAUGAAACUUAAGUCAAGAUGUCAAAAGAAGGAAAAUCAAGCUGCCAUUCCACAUACUGAACCUUUGUUCACAUAACAGAAGACCUUUAUAAGUAAAUCAUGAUUAACGUCUUUAGCAGGAGUCAGAAAAGGUUUCGUAUGAAGGACCAGUGUUUCACACUUUGCAGACCAUAAGACUCUGUUACCAUUGCUCAGCUCUGCCUUUGAAUCAAGAAAGCAGACAUAGACAAUACAUAAACAAGUGAACGUGACUACAAGCCAAUAAAAAUGUAUCUGCUGAAACAGACAGGGGGCUGGAUGCGGCUCUCGGGCCACGGUUUAUCAACCCCUGGCCUUGGGUAACUCUCACUUCUUGAGUUAACUGCAGUUCCUUCCCUCACAGAGAUUCUUAGAAACUAUUUUCAAAUUAUUCAUAAUGUUGGCUUUUCAUCUGAAAUAUGGACAUAAAAAAUUGUUGUCCCCAUUUGUUAUGAAGAAUAAGACCCAUCUGCUCAACUGAACAGACCACAAGCCUGUCAUCUCCUCUGAGCCUUGUUGAGGGCCUGUAGGAACUGGGAAAUAAGCUCAUCUGUCAACUUACAGCCAAAGAAUGUGAAGCAAGAACAUGGAGUUUUGGUUCCACAAGAUGCUCUACUGAAAAGGGCACCACUGAGAGGCCUCAUGUUUGGCACCACCGGGGACAGUCUUGAAAAUAAUAACCUACUCUUCCUGAGCAAAGCCAGCUCUGAAAGAGGAUGAUGUCUACAAAUGAGGCCUCAUAAAAGAAUAUAAUUAAACACUGAUGCUCCUCAGAGAGAACGGGCUGUGAGGCAGUGACUGUGGUGGCACGCAUUGUACCAACGAGAACAAGAUGUCACAAUUGUAUAUUUGCAGGUUGAUUUAAUCUGACAGGAUUCUUAGCAACAGGGAACUUGGUCUGUCUGUGCAUCACAACACCGCCUAUGUGUCCGACAAAUGAAGCUCUAUUUGUCUUUCAUAAACUUAAGUGCGUCAAUUAGCAAACUUCUAAAUCUAGCCGGAUGUUCUUAUCAGCGGAGAUCCCGCCUUCACCGGCUGUGGUGCAGCCUUUUGUAAGUCAUUCUCCUUAUUUAAUUAAAGACUUCCAAAAAUUCUUUUUAUAAGCAAAGGGGUUUUUUCCCCAUAAUUUGUUUUUUGAAUGUUCUCUCAUGCAAAGUUCUCAUUAUCUGAUCUUCUGAAGUAUCCCUAACAGAUAAAUGAGCAGCUAGUUGGCUGCGUUGUUCCCCACAGGUAACCAAGGAAAGGAAGAAUGGGCUAUAUCAGGAGUCAGCAAACGACAGCCCUUGGGCCCAGUCCAGCCCACCGUACCCCAUUUUGGACGACUCAUAAACUAAGAACAAUGUUUACACUUCUAAAUGGUUGGAAAAAAAUUUAAAGGAGGAUUUUUUUGACUAGUGGUAACUAUAUUAUAUACAAACUUCAGUAUCCAUCAAUAAAGUUAU